rnacentral:lncRNA from 1 species
ACCCAUGCUCAACACAUCGCCGGAUCCAUCAAUCACACCUCAGUUACUAUCUGUGAAGUCCGCAUCAAUGACAUCCCCAUCAUUGGGUCCCUUCGCAGGUCCAGCACCAGGCGUAGGCCCGGCCUCAGCAUCAGGGGUAGAUCCAGCUGCACCAGGCUGGUUGUACAUUGCCUGCCCGAUCUGCAUCACCUCCUGGUUCAAAGCAGCCAUGGCGUCCUUCAUGCCCUGUGUUGAUCCACCAGAAAUGGCGUCUUUGAGCUCCUGGAGCUUCACAUCCACCUUCUCUUUCACAGGAGCAGGGACUUUGUCGCCGAGCUCCUUCAGCUGCUUCUCGGUCUGGUAGACCACAGAGUCUGCCUGGUUUUUGGUGUCAAUGGCAUCUCUCUUCUCCUUAUCCUCCUUGGCAAACUUGUCAGCCUCUUCUACCAUUCUCUCAACCUGCAAAAGGAGGCAGUUCAAGAAGGGUUCAUGCACCAAUGCAGGUACUAAUUUUCAUGGAACCAGAGGUAUCAUACUAUUCUACAGAAUGGUAGAAACAUAACAGUGACAUCAGAGUUGUCAAUGAUACCGCCAGAUCAAAAGGAAACCAGCACCACAUCAUUGACAUGACGAGAAAUAAAUCUGGCAAAUUUUAUGUCCGGCCACCAAAUCACCACAAACAGCUCACUACCAUUUAUCAAACCAAAUAAUGCCUAAGCUGAAGUUUUGUGACAUACCUCAUCCUUAGGUAGCGUACUAGCGCCAGUAAUGGUGAUAUCCUGUUUCUUUCCAGUGCCCUUAUCAAUCGCAGCAACUGAGAGAAUACCAUUUGCAUCAAUAUCAAACUUCACUUCAAUUUGUGGGACACCACGAGGUGCAGGAGGAAUCCCAUCCAACCGGAAGCUUCCAAGAGACUUGUUGUCCCUGACAAACUCUCUCUCUCCCUGGAGAACAUUGAUCUCAACACUCGUCUGUCCAUCUGCAGCUGUUGAGAAUACCUCUGAUUUUGAGGUGGGCAGUGUGGUAUUCCUGGGGAUAAUCUUUGUCAUCACUCCACCCAAUGUCUCCAAACCAAGAGAUAAUGGAGUAACAUCCAGA